UCUGGUCUGAGGAAACAUCAGAAUAUAGCUGCCUCUUGAUCUCUGUACACUCUCUUAUGGAGGGCUGUUUGGUAUCAAUUCAAGACAGUUCAAAGUCACUCAUUUUAUAGGUACUAAACUAUUGUCUCCUUUUUUCUUUUACAGUGGACAGGAUGCGAGUACACAAGGUGAAAUGUUGCUUCAUGAGCUUUAUUCUAACAUCUGAUUGAACAAAGAGAAGCUGUAGUUUGUGCCUUAGGGACUACAUUUCCCAGCUAGCUGAGGGGUGUGGAGCUGCCAGAAGAAGCCGAUGGGAAAAGGAUCCCCUGAGGUAUUCAGGAUUCAAGGGACGAGAACCAUCGUGAGAAUGUCUGCCAAAGAUGGUUUCAAGUCUGGAGAAAGUUGGAGCGAAUUAUCUGAAUGAGGAAACAUUUGUGAGACCACAAAACAUGUUUCUGCUUCGGGAGGCUCCAGCCCAGAUGUAUCUGACUCCUGACUCUGAGCCCACAGGAGUCGACGUCCCAGCUAGACAAAGACCGAGGCUGUUUCUGCACACAAAAUGUCCUUUGUGAUGAUCCACGGAGGUGGAAACCUUUGUCAUUGUCAGCUAUUGAUGAAUACAGUUAAAAUCUAAUAUUUACACAGUCUGCAUGAAAACACACAACAAAUCAGAUUAAACCUCCCUGUCCUGAGUCGACUGAUUACCAAAACUAUUUCGUAUUUCCUAAGUGUCAAAGUAAUGGUAAAGAAAAAGGAGAUGUUACAUCAACUUUCUUAGCAUUUGGUAAAAUUCCACCUUAAAUUUAUGACUUAAGUCAGAUAUUUUGUGUAAUCUUGUUUCUGCCAUGUUUCCUGGGAUUUUGGCCCAUUCCUCCUGACAGAACUGGUGCAGCUGUAGCAGGAUGCCUCGUGCCAUCACACCUUUUCACUUCUGUUCACAAAUCUAUGGGAUUUAGACCGGUGCUUCGUCAUGCCACCCCCAAAAAGUUUUAUUAUUUGUAAGCCACUUUGUAACUAAAAUAGCUGGUAUUCUUAGGAUCAUUAUAUAGUGUAUUUUGAAGACCUACUAGUGUCUGAGCUGCAACUUCCUGGAUAUGUCUUGACAUUUUGCUGUUCGUCCAUAUUGAGAGUACUCAGUUGAGGCAUCUGGUUAGCUGAGAUAAGUUCCUUUUUGUGAACUAUAUUACAUCUCACCAUGACCUCAUUAUGUUUGUGGAUGUUCCUCUGCACUACCACUUGCACCAUUAGACUCCCACUGGCAGAAUAUGCUUAUAUCUGCCCUUUAUUGGACUCUAGCAGUUGCUUUUAUUUAGCAGUUUUUGAAAAUGUUCUCUAUAUGUCAAUGUCUCACAUUCUUUCUUGUCUGUUUGCUUUGCCACCACCAGGUGGAGCCAAACUGCUUUUGAAACAUAAGUUGAUUCUACAUAAAACAAAAAUUGUUUUACUGUGCCUUCUACUUUCUCAAAAUCAUAGGAAACACACCAAUGAGGCCAUCAUUUUAUAAGUUAUUUUAUAUUUUGUAAUUCAUUUGGAACACAAAUCUCUCCAUAAGGUAAAAACAAAAUUCUUAUUGUUAAACACACUAAUACAAAGCUAAAAAUAACGACACAUAUUACCCACAACAACUACAAAAAAAUGUAA